AUUGAACGCUGGCGGCAGGCCUAACACAUGCAAGUCGAACGAGUGGCGGACGGGUGAGUAAUGUCUGGGAAACUGCCUGCUGGAGGGGGAUAACUACUGGAAACGGUAGCUAAUACCGCAUACCAUCAGAUGUGCCCAGAUGGGAUUAGCUAGUUGGUGGGGUAAAGGCUCACCAAGGCGACGAUCCCUAGCUGGUCUGAGAGGAUGACCAGCCACACUGGAACUGAGACACGGUCCAUACUCCUACGGGAGGCAGCAGUGGCGAAUAUUGCACAAUGGGCGCAAGCCUGAUGCAGCCAUGCCGCGGGUAUGAAGAAGGCCUUCGGUUUGUAAAGUACUUUCAGCGGGGAGGCGUUACCCGCAGAAGAAGCACCGGCUAACUCCGUGCCAGCCGCCGCGGUAAUAC
rnacentral:rRNA from 1 species